rnacentral:rRNA from 1 species
UACGUAGGGGGCUAGCGUUGUCCGGAAUCAUUGGGCGUAAAGCGCGUGUAGGCGGUCCGGUAAGUCCGCUGUGAAAGUCGGGGGCUCAACCCUCGGAUGCCGGUGGAUACUGUCGGGCUUGAGUACGGAAGAGGCGAGUGGAAUUCCUGGUGUAGCGGUGAAAUGCGCAGAUAUCAGGAAGAACACCCGUGGCGAAGGCGGUUCUCUGGAACGCAACUGACGCUGAGACGCGAAAGCGUGGGGAGCAAACAGG